rnacentral:tRNA from 1 species
GGGANNUUAGCUCAGCUGGGAGAGCAUCUGCCUUACAAGCAGAGGGUCACAGGUUCGAGCCCUGUAGGUCCCA